AUUGAACGCUGGCUGCAGGCCUAACAAAUGCAAGUCGAGCGAGCGGCGGACGGGUGAGUAAUGUCUGGGAAACUGCCUGAUGGAGGGUGAUAACUACUGUAAACGGUAGCUAAUACCGCAUACCCUCAGAUGUGCCCAGAUAGGAUUAGCUAGUAGGUGGGGGAACGGCUCACCUAGGCGACGAUCCCUAGCUGGUCUUAGAUGAUGACCAGCCACACUGGGACUGAGACACGGUCCAGACUCCUACGGGAGGCAGAAGUGGUGAAUAUUGCACAAUGGGCGCAAGCCUGAUGCAGCCAUGCCGCGUGUGUGAAGAAGGCCUGAGGGUUGUAAAGCACUUUCAGCGGGGAGGCGUUACCCGCAGAAGAAGCACCGGCUAACUCCGUGCCAGCAGCCGCGGUAAUUC
rnacentral:rRNA from 1 species